CAGGAUGAACGCUGGCGGUCUGCUUAACACAUGCAAGUCGAACGGGCUCUUCGGAGCUAGUGGCGGACGGGUGAGUAACGCGUGAGGAUCUGCCUUCAUGAGGGGGAUAACGACUGGAAACGGUCGCGAAUACCGCAUAUGCCUACGGGUGAAAGAUUAUUCGCCUGGAGAUGAACUCGCGUCAGAUUAGCUAGUUGGUGGGGUAAGAGCCUACCAAUGCGACGAUCUGUAGCUGGUCUGAGAGGAUGAUCAGUCACACUGGGACUGAAACACUGCCCAAACUCCUACGGGAGGCACCAGUGCGGAAUUUUCCGCCCUGGGCGCAAGCCUGACGGAGCAUGACCGCGUGCCGGAUGACGGCCUAAUGGUUGUAAACCGCUUAUCUCUGGGAAGAUCAUGACGGUACCCCAGGAAUCAGCCUCGGCUAACUCCGUGCCAGCAGCCGCGGUAAUACGGAGGAGGCAAGCGUCAUCCGGAAUUAUUGGGCGUAACGCGUCCGUAGGUCGUUAUUCAAGUCUGCUGUCUACAGCCUGGGGCUUAACUCCAUAGACGCAGUGGAAACUGGAUGACUUGAGUGCGGUAGGGGUCGAUGGAAUUCCCAGUGUCGCGGUGAUAUGCGUAGAUCUCGGGAAGAACAGCAGUGUGCCGAGAGCUCCUCUACUGGGCCUGCACUGACACUGAGUGGACGACAGCUAGGGGAGCGAACGGGAUUAGAUACCCCUGUAGUCCUA
rnacentral:rRNA from 1 species